AUUGAACGCUGGCGGCAUGCUUUACACAUGCAAGUCGAACGGUAACAGGCCUUCGGGUGCUGACGAGUGGCGAACGGGUGAGUAAUGCAUCGGAACGUGCCCAGAGGUGGGGGAUAACGCAGCGAAAGCUGUGCUAAUACCGCAUGUGAUCUGAGGAUGAAAGCGGGGGACCAGGCAGCAAUGUUUGGCCUCGCGCCUUUGGAGCGGCCGAUGUCAGAUUAGGUAGUUGGUGGGGUAAAGGCCUACCAAGCCGACGAUCUGUAGCUGGUCUGAGAGGACGACCAGCCACACUGGGACUGAGACACGGCCCAGACUCCUACGGGAGGCAGCAGUGGGGAAUUUUGGACAAUGGGCGCAAGCCUGAUCCAGCAAUGUCGCGUGCGGGAAGAAGGCCUUCGGGUUGUAAACCGCUUUUGUACGGAACGAAAAGGCUCUGGCUAAUACCUGGGGCUGAUGACGGUACCGUAAGAAUAAGCACCGGCUAACUACGUG
rnacentral:rRNA from 1 species